UUCGGGGCGAGUAAGAGUGGCGAACGGGUGAGGAACACGUGGAUAAUCUGCCCCUUGGCGGGGAAUAACUUACCGAAAGGUGAGCUAAUACCGCAUAAGACCACAGUAGCUGAGGCUACAGAGGUUAAAGAUUUAUCACCAGGGGAUGAGUCCGCGUCCGAUUAGCUAGUUGGUAGGGUAAAGGCCUACCAAGGCAACGAUCGGUAACUGGUCUGAGAGGAUGAUCAGUCACACUGGAACUGAGACACGGUCCAGACUCC
rnacentral:rRNA from 1 species